CUCUCUCUCUCUCUCCUGGUGUGUGAUCCCCAAAACCCAGGAAAGCAUUGAAGAAUGGUAGUAAUAGGAGUUGAGUCGUAGUUAUAAGAAACCCACAACUUCACCAACACGUAUCUCAAUACACAGCAAAAAGCCACUUUACAUUAAUUUCACAGUUCUUUCUCAUAGUCCUAGGCACCCAUAUUCUUUUAAAAAAGCUUCAGACUUCAGUCACCUCCUUUUCAUCUGGCGACUGCCUAAUGAGAUAUGAGUUGAAUUGAGUGAGCCAUUACAGGAUAAGGUUACUGAAAUCUGUGACUGUGAGGCUGAGGCUGGAGCCUGGUCUAUACAAUCACUUUUUACCACCUUUCUCAAUCAGAAAUUAACCAGAUGUACCUAUACUCUUAUAUUUAUACCCAUAUGCAUAAUAGUGUUAUGUGCUACAUGCAUAAAAUCCCAUUUGAAGAAACCUUUUGAUCGGCACCGAGUGGUUUUUUCUAUAGGUGGUAAAUAUGCUCUGAUAUGACUUGUGUUUCUGGGUUUGCUAAAUGCCUCUCAUUUUGCCUCCCAAAACCCAGCUUGUUUCUGUGGGCAUCUGGAUUUUUGUACUAGAGCCACCUAUACUAUGACCAUUUCCAGGUAAGAGGAUAAAAAGGCAGACUGGGGCAACUGAGAUUCUAAUCAAAACCCAUUCUCAUUUCUUUCUGGCUUCUAUUUUUCCAUUUCAGGAUUUGGUUUGAUUAGGCCAUUAAAGUUAAGAACCCCAUUUUUUCUUGUCUUUUUCUCCUCGGUUGUAAGUUGUUGCAGUGUACCAUUUUAAGGCCCUUGAAAUCUGUGACCUUCUUUGGAGGUAUUCUGGGGGCCCUUCACACUUCAUAGGCACACCUCUACUCUUGUCUUGGUUAAGUUUUUAGGUUCAGCAAACCCAUUAAAGAUAAGGUCUGCUUCUUCUGGAGCGUAUUGAAACAAAGCCAAGUAAUGGCAGAUUGGCACGGUAUCAUGUGCAAGGGUAGUACGGGUGGUUGUAGCAGGAGUUCAAUAAGAGAUGAAGAUUUUGAAGAAGAAGAUGUGUGGUCAGUUGUGAAGGAGACGAAAGAUUUAAGUCCCAAGAUGAGGAAAUCCAAGGAUUACUACUGCUCUA
rnacentral:misc_RNA from 1 species